rnacentral:rRNA from 1 species
CGGCAUGCCUUACACAUGCAAGUCGAACGGCAGCACGGGAGCAAUCCUGGUGGCGAGUGGCGAACGGGUGAGUAAUAUAUCGGAACGUGCCCAGUCGUGGGGGAUAACGUAGCGAAAGCUAACGCUAAUACCGCAUACGAUCUAUGGAUGAAANCGGGGGAUCGCAAGACCUCGCGCGAUUGGAGCGGCCGAUAUCAGAUUAGGUAGUUGGUGAGGUAAAGGCUCACCAAGCCGACGAUCUGUAGCUGGUCUGAGAGGACGACCAGCCACACUGGGACUGAGACACGGCCCAGACUCCUACGGGAGGCAGCAGUGGGGAAUUUUGGACAAUGGGCGCAAGCCUGAUCCAGCAAUGCCGCGUGCAGGAUGAAGGCCUUCGGGUUGUAAACUGCUUUUGUACGGAACGAAACGGUAAGCUCUAAUACAGUUUGCUAAUGACGGUACCGUAAGAAUAAGCACCGGCUAACUACGUG